GGGAAUAUUGCGCAAUGGAGGAAACUCUGACGCAGCGACGCCGCGUGGGUGAUGAAGGCCUUCGGGUUGUAAAGCCCUGUCGGCUGGGAAAAAGGUAGUCGUGCUAAUACCACGAUUGCUUGAUGGUACCAGCAAAGGAAGCACCGGCUAACCCUGUGCCAGCAGCCGCGGUAAUACAGGGGGUGCUAGCGUUGUUCGGAAUUACUGGGCGUAAAGGGCGCGUAGGCGGCUUAACAAGUCAGAUGUGAAAUCUCGGGGCUUAACUCCGAAAGUGCAUUUGAAACUGUUAGGCUAGAGUGCAGUAGAGGUUGGUGGAAUUCCCAGUGUAGAGGUGAAAUUCGUAGAUAUUGGGAGGAACACCGGUGGCGAAGGCGGCCAACUGGGCUGCAACUGACGCUGAGGCGCGAAAGCGUGGGGAUCAAACA
rnacentral:rRNA from 1 species